CCCACAACGCGCAUUUCACACGCCAAUUCACUCUUUUUCCCUUCAAUUUCGCCCCUCUCACUUUCAGAUAUCUACGAAUCAUUGUACACCAUCUUCACAUCUUCCCAACCAUAUUCUCCUCACCUCAAAACAUCUCUAUAUCUCCUCAUAUUACCUUCAUUGAGAUCUCCCAAGAAUUUUUCAAGAACAAGGGUUUUGAACAAGAAGUCGACAUAAAGGGCUACGGGGAUAAUGGGCCGUCACCAUCACCACCACCACCACCACCAGCAUGGAUGCGAGAGUCCAUACGAUGAUCCUCUGCUGGCAUGUUGUUGCUGCCCUUGCUUCCUAGUUUCCUCCAUUUUCAGGAUGAUGGGGAGAUGCCUCUUUGUAGCCUGUUAUCCUGUGCUGCAGUGCUUUGGUUUGGAUGACUGCAGACACCACCAUCACCACCACAAGCAUUUCUACUGACCACUCAUCACAUCCUUCCAUCUUACACCGUCCCACAAUUUUUUUUUUUAAAUAUUUUGUUGAAUUUUUAGGUGUGUUUAAUUUGGCAAUUGAAUUCUUUAUGUGAAAAUUAGGGCUUCAUUAUUUGGUAACUUUUUUUUUUUUUGAUUUAUUUAUUCGGAUGUCGAAGAUCAAGAGACGUAAACGUUAACUCAAUAUUAUAUUUUAAUCAAAUCAGUCCAAUUUUUUUAAUA